GCAACGGAUAUCUCGGCUCUCGCAUCGAUGAAG
rnacentral:rRNA from 1 species